GUUGAACGCUGGCGGCAGGCUUAACACAUGCAAGUCGAGCGGAGGUGAGGUGCUUGCACCUUAUCUUAGCGGCGGACGGGUGAGUAAUGCUUAGGAAUCUGCCUAUUAGUGGGGGACAACAUUCCGAAAGGAAUGCUAAUACCGCAUACGUCCUACGGGAGAAAGCAGGGGAUCUUCGGACCUUGCGCUAAUAGAUGAGCCUAAGUCGGAUUAGCUAGUUGGUGGGGUAAAGGCCUACCAAGGCGACGAUCUGUAGCGGGUCUGAGAGGAUGAUCCGCCACACUGGGACUGAGACACGGCCCAGACUCCUACGGGAGGCAGCAGUGGGGAAUAUUGGACAAUGGGGGGAACCCUGAUCCAGCCAUGCCGCGUGUGUGAAGAAGGCCUUAUGGUUGUAAAGCACUUUAAGCGAGGAGGAGGCUACUGAGACUAAUACUCUUGGAUAGUGGACGUUACUCGCAGAAUAAGCACCGACUAACUCUGUGCCAGCCGCCGCCGUAAAAC
rnacentral:rRNA from 1 species